AUUGAACGCUGGCGGCAGGCCUAACACAUGCAAGUCGAGCGGAUGAAGAGAGCUUGCUCUCUGAUUCAGCGGCGGACGGGUGAGUAAUGCCUAGGAAUCUGCCUGAUAGUGGGGGACAACGUUUCGAAAGGAACGCUAAUACCGCAUACGUCCUACGGGAGAAAGUGGGGGAUCUUCGGACCUCACGCUAUCAGAUGAGCCUAGGUCGGAUUAGCUAGUUGGUGGGGUAAUGGCCCACCAAGGCGACGAUCCGUAACUGGUCUGAGAGGAUGAUCAGUCACACUGGAACUGAGACACGGUCCAGACUCCUACGGGAGGCAGCAGUGGGGAAUAUUGGACAAUGGGCGAAAGCCUGAUCCAGCCAUGCCGCGUGUGUGAAGAAGGUCUUCGGAUUGUAAAGCACUUUAAGUUGGGAGGAAGGGCAGUAAAUUAAUACUCUGCUGUUUUGACGUUACCGACAGAAUAAGCACCGGCUAACUCUGUGCCAGCAGCCGCGGUAAGAC
rnacentral:rRNA from 1 species